rnacentral:rRNA from 1 species
UUCUUUAUCACCGAGUGCUUGCACUCACCGAUAAAGAGUUGAGUGGCGAACGGGUGAGUAACACGUGGGCAACCUGCCCAAAAGAGGGGGAUAACACUUGGAAACAGGUGCUAAUACCGCAUAACCAUAGUUACCGCAUGGUAACUGUGUAAAAGGUGGCUAUGCUACCGCUUUUGGAUGGGCCCGCGGCGCAUUAGCUAGUUGGUGGGGUAAAGGCUUACCAAGGCAAUGAUGCGUAGCCGAACUGAGAGGUUGAUCGGCCACAUUGGGACUGAGACACGGCCCAAACUCCUACGGGAGGCAGCAGUAGGGAAUCUUCCACAAUGGGCGAAAGCCUGAUGGAGCAACGCCGCGUGGGUGAAGAAGGUCUUCGGAUCGUAAAACCCUGUUGUUAGAGAAGAAAGUGCGUGAGAGUAACUGUUCACGUUUCGACGGUAUCUAACCAGAAAGCCACGGCUAACUACGUGCAGCAGCCGCGGUAAUACGUAGGUGGCAAGCGUUAUCCGGAUUUAUUGGGCGUAAAGGGAACGCAGGCGGUCUUUUAAGUCUGAUGUGAAAGCCUUCGGCUUAACCGGAGUAGUGCAUUGGAAACUGGGAGACUUGAGUGCAGAAGAGGAGAGUGGAACUCCAUGUGUAGCGGUGAAAUGCGUAGAUAUAUGGAAGAACACCAGUGGUGAAAGCGGCUCUCUGGUCUGUAACUGACGCUGAAGUUCGAAAGCGUGGGUA